GACGAACGCUGGCGGCGUGCUUAACACAUGCGAGUCGAACGGAAAGGCCCUGCGUUUGUGGGGUGCUCGAGUGGCGAACGGGUGAGUAACACGUGAGUAACCUGCCCUUGACUUUGGGAUAACUUCAGGAAACUGGGGCUAAUACCGGAUAGGAGCUCCUGCUGCAUUGUGGGGGUUGGAAAGUUUCGGCGGUUGGGGAUGGACUCGCGGCUUAUCAGCUUGUUGGUGGGGUAGUGGCUUACCAAGGCUUUGACGGGUAGCCGGCCUGGGAGGGUGAACGGGCACCUUGGGCCUGCGGUACGGACCAGACUCCUACGGGCGGCAGUAGGGGGGAAUCUUACGCAAUGGGGCGAAGCCUGUUGCAGAAGCGCUGGGUGCGGGAUGACGGCCUUCGGGUUGUAAACAGAUUUCGAAUGUGCCGAAGCGUGAGUGACGGUAAUGGGUAAAGAAGCACCGGCUAACUACGUG
rnacentral:rRNA from 1 species